GCAAGCGUUGUCCGGAAUUAUUGGGCGUAAAGAGCUCGUAGGCGGUCUGUUACGUCUGCUGUGAAAACCCGGGGCUUAACCCUGGGCUUGCAGUGGAUACGGGCAGACUAGAGGCAGGUAGGGGAGAAUGGAAUUCCCGGUGUAGCGGUGAAAUGCGCAGAUAUCGGGAGGAACACCAGUGGCGAAGGCGGUGGCCUGGACCGAUGCUGACGCUGAGGCGCGAAAGCGUGGGGAGCGAUCCGG
rnacentral:rRNA from 1 species